rnacentral:rRNA from 1 species
AUUCCAGCUCCAAUAGCGUAUAUUAAAGUUGUUGCAGUUAAAAAGCUCGUAGUUGGAUUUCUGGCAGGAGCGACCGGUCACACACUCUGUGUGUGAACUUGUGUUGUCUCUGGCCAUCCUUGGGAAGAUCCUGUUUGGCAUUAAGUUGUCGGGCAGGGGAUACCCAUCGUUUACUGUGAAAAAAUUAGAGUGUUUAAAGCAGGCUUAUGCCGUUGAAUAUAUUAGCAUGGAAUAAUAAGAUAGGACUUCGGAACUAUUUUGUUGGUUUGCGUUACGAAGUAAUGAUUAAUAGGGACAGUUGGGGGUAUUCGUAUUUCGUUGUCAGAGGUGAAAUUCUUGGAUUUCCGAAAGACGAACUACUGCGAAAGCAUUUACCAAGGAUGUUUUCAUCA